UAAAAUAAAAUAUUAACAUUAAAUAAAUACGAAAAUAAAAAUUAAAUAAGACAUUAAGAAAUAUGAAAAAUAUUUUUUGGUAUUUUUAUGAAUAAAGAAAAUAUUUUAAAAUAAUUAAAAUCAAAACAGAAAAAUAAAUGUGAAUAAAAAAAGAAAAUGAAAGUGGAAGGAUUAAUGGUGAUGGGCCUGGAAAUGGAGGUG
rnacentral:lncRNA from 1 species